rnacentral:rRNA from 1 species
UAAUACCUGCAGCUCGAGUGGUGAUCACUAUUAUUGGGCCUAAAACGUCCGUAGCCGGUCUUAUAAAUGCCUGGGUAAAUCGUGCCGCUUAACGGUACGAAUUCCGGGUAGACUGUAAGACUUGAGACCGGGUGAGGCUAGAGGUACUCCUGGGGUAGAGGUGAAAUUCUGUAAUCCUAGGGGGACCACCAGUGGCGAAGGCGUCUAGCUAGAACGGGUCUGACGGUGAGGGACGAAGCCCUGGGGCGCAAACCGGAUUAGAUACCCGGGUAGUCCAGGGUGUAAACGCUGCUUGCUUGAUGUUAGUCGGGCUCCGAGCCCGAUUAGUGUCGGAGUGAAGAUGUUAAGCAAGCUGCCUGGGAAGUACGGUCGCAAGGCUG